rnacentral:misc_RNA from 1 species
AUGAUUGCGAAUGGUUGCCUUCAGUGCUGGCUCUCUUUCAAGAGCAAGUGCACGUUGGUGGCUUUCAUCCAACACACCCUUGUGAACCUUUGGCCUCUUGCUAGCUUUGGCUGGUAGAGGAUAUUUACACACACCCGAAUGUAAUGAAAACUAUUGUCGUGCGCAAGCACUAAUGUA